GACGAACGCUGGCGGCGUGCUUAACACAUGCAAGUCGAACGGAAAGGCCCUGCUUUUGUGGGGUGCUCGAGUGGCGAACGGGUGAGUAACACGUGAGUAACCUGCCCUUGACUUUGGGAUAACUUCAGGAAACUGGGGCUAAUACCGGAUAGGAGCUCCUGCUGCAUGGUGGGGGUUGGAAAGUUUCGGCGGUUGGGGAUGGACUCGCGGCUUAUCAGCUUGUUGGUGGGGAAGUGGCUUACCAAGGCUUUGACGGUAGCCGGCCUGAGAGGGUGACCGGCCACAUUGGGACUGAGAUACGGCCCAGACUCCUACGGGAGGCAGCAGUGGGGAAUAUUGCACAAUGGGCGGAAGCCUGAUGCAGCAACGCCGCGUGCGGGAUGACGGCCUUCGGGUUGUAAACCGCUUUCGCCUGUGACGAAGCGUGAGUGACGGUAAUGGGUAAAGAAGCACCGGCUAACUACGUG
rnacentral:rRNA from 1 species